rnacentral:tRNA from 1 species
GAGCGUAUAGCUCAGUGGUAGAGUGUGUGCUUAGCAUGCAGAGGUCCUGGGUUCAAUCCCUGGUACCUUCA